UACAGAGGUCCCGAGCGUUGUUCGGAUUCACUGGGCGUAAAGGGUGCGUAGGCGGUCGGAUAAGUCUGAUGUGAAAUCUCUGGGCUUAACCCAGAGAUGGCAUUGGAUACUAUUCGGCUAGAGAGUUGGAAGGGGGACUGGAAUUCUUGGUGUAGCAGUGAAAUGCGUAGAUAUCAAGAGGAAUACCAGUGGCGAAGGCGAGUCCCUGGACAACUUCUGACGCUGAGGCACGAAAGCUAGGGGAGCAAACAGG
rnacentral:rRNA from 1 species